UACGGAGGGGGCUAGCGUUGUUCGGAAUUACUGGGCGUAAAGCGCACGUAGGCGGCUUUGUAAGUCAGAGGUGAAAUCCCGGGGCUCAACUCCGGAACUGCCUUUGAGACUGCAUCGCUUGAAUCCAGGAGAGGUGAGUGGAAUUCCGAGUGUAGAGGUGAAAUUCGUAGAUAUUCGGAAGAACACCAGUGGCGAAGGCGGCUCACUGGACCGACACUGACGCUGAGGCGCGAAAGCUAGGGGAGCGAACAGG
rnacentral:rRNA from 1 species